rnacentral:piRNA from 1 species
UAGAGGCAUUGUUUCUAAUUCCUUAGG